rnacentral:pre_miRNA from 1 species
AUAGUACUCCCUCCGUUCGGAAUUACUUGUCUCGGAAAUGAAUGUAUCUAGAACUAAAAUACGUCUAGAUACAUCCAUUUCCACGACAAGUAAUUCCGAACGGAGGGAGUACUAA